ensembl:lincRNA
UUUUUUUUUUUUUUUUGAGAUGAAGUCUCACUGUGUUGUCCAGUGUGGUCUUAGCUCUGAGAUCAAGCAGUCUUCCUGCCUCAGCCUUCACAGUAGCUGGGACCACAGGGGUGUGACAUUAGACCCUAGAUAAUUUUUUCUUUCUUAUUUUCUUUUAUUAUUAUUAUUUAGUGUGUGUGAGACCCACAUUCAUAGACAAACCAAAUAAUAUUGAAGAAAUAUAUCAGGUGCUGAUAUGUGCUGAGAUGAAAAUGAAGCAGGACAGGCGAGUGGUGUGGAGAUAGUUUUCAAUGGAGGGGCAGUCAGUGAAGGCUUUUGUGGAGGUAGCAUUUGAACAAAGACCUGCAGGAAGGAGGAAAGACCCAUGUGGCUGGGGACAAGUGCUGUGGGCAGAUGAAACCUCAUGUACAAAGGCCCUGUGGUAGAGAGCACUUCCCCUGCCUCUUCGCUUGUGUUCCUCAGUGAGCAGCAGCACCCGGAAGGUCACUCUGCCCAACCUCCCCUGGGGGCCCUGCAAAUUCUGGGUGACGGCGGCCACCAUUGCAGGACAAGGCCCACCAGGUCCCAGCCUCCAGUUCCAUCUGCCAGGUAGAGGCUGGGGCGGGACUGCCUACUCCACUUGAGGGAGGGGGUGUCUGGAGUCUUCACAUGGGCUUCAGGGCAGGGACAAAAUGACUUGAGGUGGAGGAUCAGUAUGUGGGGGGUUCUGGGGGUUGAACCUAGAUCUGUGUGCAUACUGAGCACAUCUCUACCACUAUGCUGCACCCCCCAGCCCUCACUUUGUAAUUCUCACUGGCCUUGAACACGCUUUGCAGCCCAGGCUAGCCUUGAACUCCUGGCGAUCAUCCUGCCUCAGCCUCCUGUGUACUAGGAUGACAGGCAUGUGCCACCACUCCUCAUUUCUAGGGGCCUUUUUAUUCUGCUAAUGCUGCAGACUCUUACCAGGCCUGGAGUCUCCCAUGGUUUCACCCUACUCACUCUGAGCUGUCGACACUGUCCUACUCACGAGUCCCGCCCCUUCUCAAGAUUCCUAGUCCCUCCCACAUAUAAGCCCCACCCACUCUGUCACCCAAGCCCCGACCCAUCCACAAGCUUACAUCUUUCCCAGUUUCCUGGCAUCCAAAACAUCUCUCCUCUCUGUCCUGCAGGGAAUACUUUGAGCUGGGGACUCCUGCCCCGGAUCCUGUGCCUGUGGGCCUUGCUCCAGCUGGGCUGCUGCCUGGGCCUGGCCACCUCUGGAAGGUGCCUCCACCUGAGACACAAGGUGCUCCCCCGUUGGGUCGUGGAGAAGGUUCCUGAUCCUGCCAACAGCCAUUCUGGCCACCCCCACAUAGAGCAGGUGUCUCAGCCCCAGCCCCAGCCCCUUGGGGAUGCUCCCAUCCUGGAAGUGGAAGAGAUGGAGCCACUGCCACUUAUGGAACCGCCCCAGGCCUCCACCCCACUUCACUCUGGGUAUGAGAAACACUUCAUGCCCACCCCAGAGGAGCUGGGCCUUCUGGGGUCCCCCAGUCCCCAUGUGCUGGCCUAAGCCUUGCCAGGGGGGGCUGCAGAACAGGCUAAGGGUGCUCAUGCAGGCUGCACCCUGCCCUGGGGUGAGCCCACAUAACAGAUGAUGACACUGAGGCCCAGCAAGGCUGAGCCACUUGCCCGAAGGCAUCCAAUCGGAAGAGUGGGGACUAGGGGACCCUAUAGAGAAGGGCCCAGACUCAGUAGGGAAUGCAUGGGUGGAUCAGUGUGUAAAGGAAAAUGCGUGAUAUCAAGAGGGGAGCUGCCUCCCACAAUCCUACUGGAGCAGAACUGCACCUGUGCACAGUCCCAGCCUCCCGUGCAGCUGGACCAACCAAGGGCUGAGUUCUUACAAUGCAAUGUGGGCAGAAGUGACAUGGGCCAAUGUCAGGAGCUGGUAGGCCUGAAACACUGGGUGGAGGCUCCUCCACACUCUUCUGGUGAGCUAGAACAUAAAUGUGCUCAUGACCUAGCUUUGACAUAGCCCGGGGGGAAACCAAUGCAACGGAACUUGAGUCCCCAAGUGACUGUAGGUCAGAGCCUGAAUCCCUGAGUGACCAGAUGCGUGAACCUCAAUCCCUCAGUGACCAUAUGGAAAAGAGCCUGAAUCCCUCAGUGGUCACAUAGAUAAGAGCCUGAAUCCCUCAGUAACCACAUGGGUAAGAGCCCAAGUCAAUCCUGAGUGACUAUGAAGAUCACAGCCUGAAUUGCCCAGGGACUACAUGGGCUAGAGCCUGAGUCCUCGAGUGACCAUAUGGACUGAGCCUAAAUCACCCACUGAACCCAUGGAUAAUGGACUGAAUCCCUCAGUGACCACAUGAGUCAGAGCCUGAAUCUGAGAGAUUGUAGAUCAGAGUCUGAAUCCCCCAGGGACCGUAAGGAUCAGAGCCAAUUCUCAAGUGACCAUAUGCAUUAGCGCCUGAAUCCUCGAAAAACCACACAAGAGCCCAAAUACCUGAGCGACUGCACAAAUCGGAGCCUAAAUCACUAAGUGAUUACCUGGAUUAGAGCCUUAAUUCCUGAGUGACCACCUGAAUCAGAAAAUGAAUCCCCAAGGAACUUCCUGGGUCUGAAUCCCUGAAUGUCCACAUGCGUCAGAACCACGAUAAACUCAUCUUUUUGUUACUGUAGCUUGAGAUAACUUUGUUACAGCAACCAGUCCGUAUACUCGCUGACUCACAUUUUUUGUCCCAGAAGAAUUAGGCCUUCAGUUUCCCACCAGAUCACGAGGUGAUUCUGUGCCAACAACACACACUUUCCAGCUGAGUGCUUAGACAUUUUAUUUUCAAGUAUAAAGGCUUUGUCACAGAAGGGAGCCGGGGUCACAGGCAGUGGGCAAGGAGUCUGGAAGCCCAGGCAUAAGUGGAUGUGAGGGCCGGCUGGCGGCCGGGUGCCAUGGCCAGUCCUGUGGUGCCCUGCCUGUGCCCGGGACCCCCUGCUGGAUUCCAGGAGGCGAGGUAGCUGUGAGAGGCACUAGGUGGGGCACGGGCGCAGGCUCACAUCACCGCACAGCACUGGCACGUCUUCUGCUUGGGGCCGCUUGCCUCCUCACCCUCGGCGUGGGAGGUGGGCUCAGGC